CACGGGCUUCGCUUUCCCCGCUCUAUCGCCGCCAUCACUCGCCCCUCCUUCCUUCUCGCAUGCCUCCGCACUCUCGCCGCAUCCUUGCUUCCACGCGCACGCUGGCAUCUACCCCUCCGACUCAAUGCCGGCCUUUUGCGCCCAGCGCAAGCCGCCUCGGCAGCAACGCGCUCAGGCCGUUCGGCAGAAUGCCGACCCUGAUGCGGCGGUUUCUUUGAACCGCUCCGAGAAGCUGGAUUGGGCUCGUAGGUCAGGCCUGGGACGCGUUUCCAGGCCUAUUUCAAUAUGCCGGAGGAACGAGCUGCGAUGCAAGGCAGGUGGUUUCUUCGCCCCUGAUUCAUCCGGCAUGGUAACUAGGUGCCUCUGAAGCUGCGAUGCAAAGACAGGUACAGUGCGGACUGAACUCUGAAGAACUUGCCGUGGGAGCAGGAAAGGCAAGACACAGCACAAGAGGCCGACCACAUGUUUGUGUUUCAACACAUUGAUGUUGCUACAGCCUGCUUUCUCAUCUUGUUAGCUGAAAACUACUCCCUCCAUAAUAAGUGUCGUGUUUUUAGUUCAAGUUGUUUAUUUCAAAUCUUUAAGUUGUAUAGUUUAAAUUAAAUUGAUUGAAUUAAACUAAACUACUUGAACUAAACCACGACACUUCUUUUGGAUCGGAUGGAGUAUCUUGCUUUUUCUGCAUGGUACCACCUCACGUUUCACAUUUGGUCACUUGCAAUACAGAAAUGGUGGCGACA